GAUGAACGCUGGCGGCGUGCCUAAUACAUGCAAGUCGAGCGAAUGGAUUAAGAGCUUGCUCUUAUGAAGUUAGCGGCGGACGGGUGAGUAACACGUGGGUAACCUGCCCAUAAGACUGGGAUAACUCCGGGAAACCGGGGCUAAUACCGGAUAACAUUUUGAAACGCAUGGUUCGAAAUUGAAAGGCGGCUUCGGCUGUCACUUAUGGAUGGACCCGCGUCGCAUUAGCUAGUUGGUGAGGUAACGGCUCACCAAGGCAACGGUGCGUAGCCGACCUGAGAGGGUGAUCGGCCACACUGGGACUGAGACACGGCCCAGACUCCUACGGGAGGCAGCAGUAGGGAAUCUUCCGCAAUGGACGAAAGUCUGACGGAGCAACGCCGCGUGAGUGAUGAAGGCUUUCGGGUCGUAAAACUCUGUUGUUAGGGAAGAACAAGUGCUAGUUGAAUAAGCUGGCACCUUGACGGUACCUAACCAGAAAGCCACGGCUAACUACGUGCCAGCAGCCGCAGUAA
rnacentral:rRNA from 1 species